rnacentral:tmRNA from 1 species
GGGGAUGAAGGGAAUCGACGGAAUGCAUGCACUUUUAAAAAUGGGUAGAGCGGACCUGUCCGUUAAACGGAAAAAUCUAAUUGCUAAAGAUAACUCUUUAACAUCAGAAGAGAAAGCUUAUUUAGCAAGUGGUGCAAGGUUUGACUUUGCAUUCGCUGCUUAAUAGCAGAAUCAACUGACUCUGAUUAAGUUUCCCUUAGUUCAACUUAAUUAAGAGAUAAACCAAUUAAGGUAAGGUUUUAUAGGAUUCCCGAUGGACUAUAGAACCGACAAAACCUCAUCGGCUUUUCGAUAAGUUUUGCUUAUUUUCUAGUCGAAAAAGAGUCAAAAAUAUUCUAUCUCUACCUAAACAUUUUUAAAAUGGCCCUUCCGGACCCGGGUUCAACUCCCGGCAUCUCCACCG